UACGGAGGGGGCUAGCGUUGUUCGGAAUUACUGGGCGUAAAGCGCACGUAGGCGGCUUUGUAAGUUAGAGGUGAAAGCCCGGGGCUCAACUCCGGAAUUGCCUUUAAGACUGCAUCGCUAGAAUUGUGGAGAGGUGAGUGGAAUUCCGAGUGUAGAGGUGAAAUUCGUAGAUAUUCGGAAGAAACACCAGUGGCGAAGGCGACUCACUGGACACAUAUUGACGCUGAGGUGCGAAAAGCGUGGGGAGCAAACAGG
rnacentral:rRNA from 1 species